rnacentral:rRNA from 2 species
UGAACGAUUAGCCAUGCUAGUUGUACGAGUUGAGACUCGUAGCAGAUAGCUCAGUAACACGUGGCCAAACUACCCUAUCGAGCACGAUACUCUCGGGAAACUGAGGCUAAUAGUGCAUACGACUCGGUGUCUGGAGUGACCCGAGUCAGAAACGCUCAGGCGCGAUAGGAUGUGGCUGCGGCCGAUUAGGUAGACGGUGGGGUAACGGCCCACCGUGCCAAUAAUCGGUACGGGUUGUGAGAGCAAGAGCCCGGAGACGGUAUCUGAGACAAGAUACCGGGCCCUACGGGGCGCAGCAGGCGCGAAACCUUUACACUGCACGCGAGUGCGAUAAGGGGACUCCAAGUGCGAGGGCAUAUAGUCCUCGCUUUUCGUGACCGUAGGAUGGUCACAGAAUAAGUGCUGGGCAAGACCGGUGCCAGCCGCCGCGGUAAUACCGGCAGCACGAGUGAUGACCGCUAUUAUUGGGCCUAAAGCGUCCGUAGCUGGCCACGCAAGUCCAUCGGGAAAUCUCUCCGCUCAACGGAGAGGCGUCCGGUGGAAACUGUGUGGCUUGGGACCGGAAGAUCCAGAGGGUACGUCUGGGGUAGGAGUGAAAUCCCGUAAUCCGAGACGGACCACCGGUGGCGAAAGCGCUCUGGAAAGACGGAUCCGACGGUGAGGGACGAAAGCUCGGGUCACGAACCGGAUUAGAUACCCGGGUAGUCCGAGCUGUAAACGAUGUCUGCUAGGUGUGACACAGGCUACGAGCCUGUGUUGUGCCGUAGGGAAGCCGUGAAGCAGACCGCCUGGGAAGUACGUCUGCAAGGAUGAAACUUAAAGGAAUUGGCGGGGGAGCACUACAACCGGAGGAGCCUGCGGUUUAAUUGGACUCAACGCCGGACAUCUCACCAGCAUCGACAGUGUGCAGUGAAAGUCAGUGUGAUGAGCUUACUGGAGCCACUGAGAGGAGGUGCAUGGCCGCCGUCAGCUCGUACCGU